GCAUAUCAUAGCGAGAAAAGAAACUAACAAGGAUUCCCCUAGUAACUGCGAGUGAAGCGGGAAAAGCUCAAAUUUGAAAUCUGGCAGUCUUUUUUUUCUUCUUUGGCUGUCCGAGUUGUAAUCUAGAGAAGUGCUUACCUGCACUGGACCAUGUAUAAGUCUCCUGGAAUGGAGCGUCACAGAGGGUGAGAAUCCCGUCUUUGACAUGGACCGCCAGUGUGUUGUGGUGUGCUCUCAAAGAGUCGAGUUGUUUGGGAAUGCAGCUCUAAAUGGGUGGUAAACUCCAUCUAAAGCUAAAUAUUGGCGAGAGACCGAUAGYGAACAAGUACCGUGAGGGAAAGAUGAAAAGGACUUUGGAAAGAGAGUUAAACAGUAUGUGAAAUUGUUGAAAGGGAAACGCUUGAAGUCAGUUAUGUUGGCUAGGGAUCAACYUAGCUGUUUUUUGCUGGGUGAAUUUCCUAGUCUGACAGGCCAACAUCAGUCUUGACUGCUGGAAAAGAGCAGAGGGAAUGUGGCACCUUUGGGUGUGUUAUAGCCUUUUGUCAUAUGUGGCAGUUGGGACUGAGGGAUGCAGCAUGCCGCGAGGCUGGGUUUCUGACCACGUUCAUGCUCAGGAUGUUGGCUUUUAAUGGCUUCAAUCGACCCGUCUUGAAACACGGACCAAGGAGUCUAACAUGCCUGCGAGUGUUUGGGUGGGGAAAACCCUUGUGCACAAUGAAAGUGAAAGUUGAGAUCCCUGUCAUGGGGAGCAUCGACGCCCGGACCUGAGCUUUUAGCGACGGAUCCGCGGUAGAGCAUGCAUGUUGGGACCCGAAAGAUGGUGAACUAUGCCUGAAUAGGGCAAAGCCAGAGGAAACUCUGGUGGAGGCUCGUAGCGAUUCUGACGUGCAAAUCGAU
rnacentral:rRNA from 1 species